AACGCGAAGAACCUUACCUGGGCUUGAACUACUCGUGGUAAGCUGAUGGAAACAUUAGCUGACCCGCAAGGGAGCGAGCAGAGGUGCUGCAUGGUUGUCGUCAGCUCGUGUCGUGAGAUGUUGGGUUAAGUCCCGCAACGAGCGCAACCCCUACUCGAUGUUGCUAAUCCCGCAAGGGAUGCACUCUUCGAGAACUGCCUUCGAUAAGAAGGAGGAAGGUGGGGACGACGUCAAAUCCUCAUGGCCCUUAUGUCCAGGGCUACACACGUGCUACAAUGGCCGGUACAACGGGAAGCAAUACCGUAAGGUGGAGCCAAACCCUGAAAGCCGGCCCCAGUUCAGAUUGUGGGCUGCAACUCGCCCACAUGAAGGCGGAAUCGCUAGUAAUCGCGAAUCAGCAGGUCGCGGUGAAUACGUUCCCGGGCCUUGUA
rnacentral:rRNA from 1 species